GCGGGCGUAGCUCAAUGGUAGAGCGUCAGCCUUCCAAGCUGAAUGUUGAGGGUUCGAAUCCCUUCGCCCGCU
rnacentral:tRNA from 2 species